GGUGGCUCAGUGGUAGAGUGCUUGCCUUGCAUGCAUGAGGGCCUGGGUUCAAUUCCUCAGCACCA
rfam:Dipodomys ordii contig_9661, whole genome shotgun sequence.